CAAACUCCCAGAGGAACGGCCUGAAAGGGCCUUUCAUAGCGUGUUUUCCAGCUCAUACAUUUUGAGUUCCUUGAGACUUCUCUGGGUUGUCUGCCCUAAUGGUCUCUGAGCACAUUCCUGAUCCUGACUGCGGCUUGCUGGUCUACUGAGGUCCCCAGCAUCAAAGGGGAAAAGGGAAAAAGCUCAUACGGGCUGCAGGCUGGGCGGGUUCGUGCUGGAAGAAAUGCACGCACGCACAGCUGUGUGGCGUGUUCUCUCUGCCCUGUUUGAAAGGAGCACUUCUCUGAAUGAUGUUCUCAGAGCCAGAAUCCUCUGUUGGGUGUGCUGGACAAGAGCCCCACCACUACGCUACAUCCACGGGCUUUUACCAAGUUUUGAGACAGACUCUCGCCCAGCCCGUUGGAUCCUGCUGUGGCAGCCCAGUUCAGCCAUCACAGUGAAGGCUGCAGUAGAUUUUGAGAUAUUCCAUUUGCCUUUCUACAAAGGAGCUUUCCUGACGGGAGCAGUCCUCCAGAGAGAGCUCACAUGGUCAGGUCUGGACAGACUGGUAGCCGGCGCUGAGUCCGGUUCCCCUUCGCUCUGUGCUGGGACUAAGCUGGACGGAGGAUCCAUGACGACCGU
rnacentral:lncRNA from 1 species